rnacentral:rRNA from 1 species
AGCGCAGGCGGUUUUUAGGUCUGAUGUGAAAGCCCUUGGCUCAACCAAGGAAGUGCAUCGGAAACUGGAGAACUUGAGUGCAGAAGAGGACAGUGGAGCUCCAUGUGUAGCGGUGAAAUGCGUAGAUAUAUGGAAGAACACCAGUGGCGAAGGCGGCUGUCUGGUCUGUAACUGACGCUGAGGCUCGAAAGCAUGGGUAGCGAACA